CCUACGGGUGGCAGCAGUGAGGAAUAUUGGUCAAUGGACGAGAGUCUGAACCAGCCAAGUAGCGUGAAGGAUGACUGCCCUAUGGGCUGUAAACUUCUUUUAUAGAGGAAUAAAACGAGGCACGUGUGCAUCUUUGCAUGUACGUUAUGAACAAGGAUCGGCUAACUCCGUGCCAGCAGCCACGGUAAUACGGAGGAUCCGAGCGUUAUCCGGAUUUAUUGGGUUUAAAGUGAGCGUAGAUGGGUUGUUAAGUCAGUUGUGAAAGUUUGCGGCUCAACCGUAAAAUUGCAAUUGAUACUGGCAGUCUUGAGUACAGGUGAGGUAGGCGGAAUUCGUGGUGUAGCAGUGAAAUGCUUAGAUAUCACGAAGAACCCCGAUUGCGAAGGCAGCUUACUAAACUGUGACUGACAUUGAUGCUCGAAAGUGUGGGUAUCAAACAGGAUUAGAUACCCUGGUAGUC
rnacentral:rRNA from 1 species